rnacentral:rRNA from 1 species
UGGUGGAGUGAUUUGUCUGGUUAAUUCCGUUAACGAACGAGACCUCGACCUGCUAAAUAGUUCGCCGAACCCCCAGUUUCGUGCGCGACUUCUUAGAGGGACUAUCGGUUCGUAGCCGAUGGAAGUUCGAGGCAAUAACA